AAAAAAAGAUUGAUAUCAGUGACAAUGUUGGGGUUGGCAGACACGAGUGUCGUAGAGACACCCACGCGUUUCCCGCAUCCACGCGGGACCGACCGAAAAUAUUCACUUUCGCACGACAAAGGGCAAGAAACCGAAUGGUCCAUAUUUGCACUAACAAGAAACGAUCGUCAGCAACUGGGGAAAGAAGUUUGAAAAAAAACAUUCCAAUUAUUGUACACAACAACACAUAUAUAUAGCAGUCAAUGUAAAUUGCCUCUGAUAAAACGAAAGAUUCCACACGUACGGAACGAGAAUCCAUCUGAAAUAUAAUCACUUCGGUAUGCUCUGCUUUAUGAGGUGUGUAAUGGUGGGAAAAAUAUAGGACGUCGACAAAACCCAAAGGAGACGUAAAAACAGGACAACGUAUGUAGUUUUUUACGGGAUACCGCGACGUUAAAGGUAUAGAGGGAAAAAAAGGGUAUGGAGGAUUGGAUAUAUUAUUGGUGGAGCGGCAAUCAUAAAAUUCCACCCCGGAGGACUCUGACGCGGUGUGGGGCUCAUCGAAUUUGGCUACGAAUCGUGUUUAUCUUGCCCACGUACGAAAUGUAGGGAUGUAAAUGGCCUUGUAAACCAAAUAUGCUGUCAGCAGUUUUGAGCAUUAUGUGAAAUCACCGGGGGAUUUCGCAGGAAAUGAGAAAAAAAAGAAUAUUGUCUCACGAAGAAAACGCAAAAAUGAAAUAUUAAUUUUUAAUAUUACUAAUAAAAUAUAUUUCAUAGCCAAAAGCACCUAAUGACUUUACCACUAAAUUACUAAUUUACUAAUUGAAAUUAUUUAGCUU